GACGAACGCUGGCGGCGUGCCUAAUACAUGCAAGUCGAACGCAGUGGCGGACGGGUGAGUAACCCGUGGGUGACCUGCCCUGCACUUCGGGAUAAGCCUGGGAAACUGGGUCUAAUACCGGAUAGUGUGGGAUGGGCCCGCGGCCUAUCAGCUUGUUGGUGGGUUAAUGGCCUACCAAGGCGGCGACGGGUAGCCGGCCUGAGAGGGGGGACGGCGACAUUGGGACUGAGACAGGGCCCAGACGGCUACGGGAGGCAGCAGGGGGGAAUAUUGCACAAUGGGCGGACGCCUGAUGCAGCGACGCCGGGGGGGGGAUGACGGCCGUCGGGUUGGAAACGCCUUUCACCAUCGACGCGGUAGAUGGAGAAGAAGCACCGGCUAACUACGUGCCAACAGCCGCGGUAAUAC
rnacentral:rRNA from 1 species